CUUCCUGCUUUGGUUUUCCGAAGUGAGGAAAAGAAAAACAAAAGGGUGAAAAUUUCCAUAUCCUCCCAACAUCAUUCUCGGCUUCGGAAGGCGUCUUUGACCACUCUACGCCGCUGCAGACACCUCCACUCCCUCCAUUACUUUUUUCCUUAAAGAUUUCUCCAUAAUUAUUCAAAAUGAUUUCUUAAUAAAGACAAUGUAGAUUUGGGCACAGCUUGUGGGAAAUACUUCCGUGUUUCAUGCCUCAGCAUAGUCGAUCCAGGUGACUUGGACAUCAUCAAGUGUUUGCCUGGUGAACAUUGAAAAGAGAUAGUCUUUUGUAAGGCCUUUUCUGUUCUGGAUAUGAUUCUUAUUUCAAGUUGUUGAAUCUCAGAAUUUAUAUCAAGUUCUUUUACCGUGAUAUUUGUUUGGUAUUUUUGACAGCACAUUUUUUAGACAAUUAAGAAAUGGAUUAUUGAAAUAUUUA